rnacentral:tRNA from 1 species
GAGAUUUUAGCUUAAUGAAAGCAUCUGGGUUGCAUUCAGAAGAUGUGAGGUAGAGUCUCGCAAAUUUUA